UGUAGCUCAGUGGUAGAGUGCUUGCCUAGGAUGCAUGAGGCCCUGGGUUCAGUCCCAACA
rnacentral:tRNA from 1 species